ensembl:snRNA U6 U6 spliceosomal RNA
AAAUAUGAUUAGCAUAGCCCCUGCGCAAGGAUGACACGCAAAUUUGUGAAGCGUUCCAUAUUUUU